rnacentral:rRNA from 1 species
AGAGUUUGAUCCUGGCUCAGGAUGAACGCUAGCUACAGGCUUAACACAUGCAAGUCGAGGGGAAACGACAUCGAAAGCUUGCUUUUGAUGGGCGUCGACCGGCGCACGGGUGAGUAACGCGUAUCCAACCUGCCCACCACUUGGGGAUAACCUUGCGAAAGUAAGACUAAUACCCAAUGACGUCUCUAGAAGACAUCUGAAAGAGAUUAAAGAUUUAUCGGUGAUGGAUGGGGAUGCGUCUGAUUAGCUUGUUGGCGGGGUAACGGCCACCAAGGCGACGAUCAGUAGGGGUUCUGAGAGGAAGGUCCCCCACAUUGGAACUGAGACACGGUACCAACUCAUACGGGGNGGCA